CCUACGGGGGGCUGCAGUAGGGAAUAUUGGGCAAUGGGCGGAAGCCUGACCCAGCCACGCCGCGUGCAGGAGGAAGGCCCUCUGGGUUGUAAACUGCUUUAGCAGGGGAAGAAAAAACCGAUGCGUCGGGAAUUGCCGGUACCCUGAGAAUAAGCACCGGCUAACUACGUGCCAGCAGCCGCGGUAAUACGUAGGGUGCAAGCGUUGUCCGGAUUUAUUGGGUUUAAAGGGUGCGUAGGCGGUCUAUUAAGUCAGUGUUUAAAUUUUGCAGCUUA
rnacentral:rRNA from 1 species